UUCGUAGGCGGUCUUGAAAGUCAGAGGUGAAAUCUAACGGCUUAACCGUUAAAUUGCCUUUGAAACUACUUGACUUGAGGACGGGAGAGGAAAGCGGAAUUCUUGGUGUAGCGGUGAAAUGCGUGGAUAUCAAGAAGAACACCGGUGGUGAAAACGGCUUUCUAGCCUGUAACUGACGCUGAUGAACGAAAGCUAGGGUAGCAAACAGGAUUAGAUACCCUGGUAGUCC
rnacentral:rRNA from 1 species